rnacentral:misc_RNA from 1 species
UACGAAUUGUGCGAACGUUAUUCGGAAUCACUGGGCUUAAAGGGUGCGUAGGCGGCUAUGCAGGUCAGGUGUGAAAUCCCACGGCUCAACCGUGGAACUGCGCUUGAAACCGCAUGGCUUGAGGGAGUCAGAGGUAAGCGGAACUGAUGGUGGAGCGGUGAAAUGCGUUGAUAUCAUCAGGAACACCGGUGGCGAAAGCGGCUUACUGGGACUUUUCUGACGCUGAGGCACGAAAGCCAGGGGAGUGAACGGG